rnacentral:rRNA from 1 species
GUGGCAAACGGGUGAGUAUAAUGUGGGAAUCUACCUUUUGGUUUGGAAUAACACGGGGAAACUUGUGCUAAUACCGAAUAAGCCCUUACGGGGAAAGUUUUAACGCCGAAAGAUGAGCCCGCACUUGAUUAGCUAGUUGGUAAGGUAAAAGCUUACCAAGGCAACGAUCAAUAGCUGUUCUUAGAGGAAGACCAGCCACAUUGGGACUGAGACACGGCCCAGACUCCUACGGGAGGCAGCAGUGGGGAAUCUUGCACAAUGGGGGAAACCCUGAUGCAGCGAUGCCGCGUGAGUGAAGAAGGCCCUUGGGUUGUAAAACUCUUUCGUCGGGGAAGAAAAUGACUGUACCCGAAUAAGAAGGUCCGGCUAACUUCGUGCCAGCAGCCGCGGUAAUACGAAGGGACCUAGCGUAGUUCGGAAUUACUGGGCUUAAAGAGCUCGUAGGUGGUUAAAAAAGUUGAUGGUGAAAUCCCAAGGCUCAACCUUGGAACUGCCAUCAAAACUUUUUAGCUAGAGUGUGAUAGAGGUAAGUGGAAUUUCUAGUGUAGAGGUGAAAUUCGUAGAUAUUAGAAAGAACACCAAAUGCGAAGGCAACUUACUGGGUCACUACUGACACUGAGGAGCGAAAGCAUGGGUAGCGAAGAGGAUUA